CCUACGGGAGGCAGCAGUAGGGAAUCUUCCACAAUGGGCGAAAGCCUGAUCGAGCAACGCCGCGUGAGUGAAGAAGGUCUUCGGAUCGUAAAACCCUGUUGUUAGGGAAGAAGGUCCGUGAGAGUAACUGGUCACGGUUCGAUGUUAUCUAACCAGAAAGCCACGGCUAACUACGUGCCAGCAGCCGCGUUAAUACGUAGGUGGCAAGCGUUAUCCGGAUUUAUUGGGCGUAAAGGGUGCGCAGGCGGUCUUGUAAGUCUGAUGUGAAAGGCUUCGGCUUAACCGGGUGAGGGCACUGGAAACUGGGGGACUUGAGUGCAGAAGAGGAGAGUGGAACUCCAUGUGUAGCGGUAAAAUGCGUAGAUAUAUGGAAGAACACCAGUGGCGAAGGCAGCUGCCUGGCCUGUAACUGACGCUGAGGUUCGAAAGCGUGGGGAGCAAACAGGAUUAGAUACCCCUGUAGUC
rnacentral:rRNA from 1 species